rnacentral:rRNA from 1 species
UACGGAGGGUGCGAGCGUUGUCCGGAAUUAUUGGGCGUAAAGAGCUCGUAGGCGGCCAGUUGCGUCUGCUGUGAAAUCCCGGGGCUCAACCCCGGGCGUGCAGUGGAUACGGGCAGGCUGGAGGCAGGCAGGGGAGAACGGAAUUCCCGGUGUAGCGGUGAAAUGCGCAGAUAUCGGGAGGAACACCGGUGGCGAAGGCGGUUCUCUGGGCCUGUACUGACGCUGAGGAGCGAAAGCGUGGGGAGCGAACAGG